rnacentral:rRNA from 1 species
CCUACGGGUGGCAGCGGUGAGGAAUAUUGGUCAAUGGGCGCGAGCCUGAACCAGCCAAGUAGCGUGAAGGAUGACUGCCCUACGGGUUGUAAACUUCUUUUAUAAAGGAAUAAAGUGAGUCACGUGUGCCUUUUUGUAUGUACUUUAUGAAUAAGGAUCGGCUAACUUCGUGCCAGCAGCCGCGGUAAUACGGAGGAUCCGAGCGUUAUCCGGAUUUAUUGGGUUUAAAGGGAGCGUAGAUGGGUUGUUAAGUUAGUUGUGAAAGUUUGGGGCUCAACCGUAAAAUUGCAAUUGAUACUGGUAGUCUUGAGUGCAGUUGAGGUAGGCGGAAUGCGUGGUGUAGCGGUGAAAUGCUUAGAUAUCACGAAGAACUCCGAUUGCAAAGGCAGCUUACUAGACUGCCACUGACAUUGAUGCUCGAAAGUGUGGGUAUCAAACAGGAUUAGAUACCCCUGUAGUC